GAUUAGAGUUUGAUCAUGGCUCAGGAUGAACGCUAGCGGCAGGCUUAAUACACGCAAGUCGAACGGCAGCACGAAUAGCAAUAUUUGGUGGCGAGUGGCGCACGGGUGCGUAACGCGUAUGUAACCUACCCUUAACUGGGGAAUAGCCCCGAGAAAUCGGGAUUAAUACUCCAUAACAUCAUGAAAUGGCAUCAUUUUAUGAUCAAAGCUCCGACGGUUAAGGAUGGGCAUGCGUGACAUUAGCUAGUUGGUAAGGUAACGGCUUACCAAGGCUACGAUGUCUAGGGGUUCUGAGAGGAUAUUCCCCCACACUGGUACUGAGACACGGACCAGACUCCUACGGGAGGCAGCAGUAAGGAAUAUUGGGCAAUGGACGCAAGUCUGACCCAGCCAUGCCGCGUGCAGGAUGACGGCCCUACGGGUUGUAAACUGCUUUUGUACGGGAAAAAACCUUCGCUCGAGUAGCGGAGCUGAUGGUACCGUAAGAAYAAGC
rnacentral:rRNA from 1 species